rnacentral:misc_RNA from 1 species
ACUUUGCCACUCAAAAGGGUAAUGGCAGAGCUAGUGGACUACCAUAUGUCUUUGAGUAUAGGAAUGUUCAUCCUAUCUAAUUUCAUUGUGAUUCAACUUUCAAUGAUUACUAGUAUAUAUACCUUGAACAACUUGCCAAUUACAGUGUAUUUAAUAGCAUAUCAAGACAUGUAUCUAAUCUGGGUGUACAAAAACACUGACUCUAGACUUGAUACUUUUAAUAGAUAAUAUUUCUAAUGUUAAAAUACUGUUUUACUUUUUAAAUUUACCUUGUAUGUUGUAAAAAGUACAAAUUUCAAAAACUGUCAAUACCUGUAUAUGCACUGAUAAAUUUUAAAUGAUUACUUUUAUUACAUAAUUACUUUUAUAAUAACAAUCUCAGUUGUGGAUUUUUUUUUCAAACCACUUUCUACCUGUCAUAUAUUUCCUUCAGUAUAGUCAUAAUACCAUAUUAGGCUACUUUAUUUGCAAUAACUUACAAUAUCAUGUAUCUACUAAAACACGAAGUUGCAAUUACAGUCACAUUGUUUGUAUUAUAAUUACCUAUUUUACGGAGAAUGUUUAUAUUGACAAUGUCAAUAACCAUAAGUUUUGUAGGUUAUAAAACGUUGAAAUAGAAAAAAUGCAUGAUUAUCGUUAACGAUAACAACUCUUCCAAAGUACUGGUACAUGUACAUGCUACUACAGGGGUAUUAAUAAUAUGUAUCAUAAUUAAGAAACUCGCUGGUUUUGAAUGGACUUGUCAAGUUACACAAUAUGAUAUUUGUUCCUACCUCGUUUACCUGUAGAUCUUCAAUAAAACUAAGCAAUUACAUGUACUUGUUCAGAUUAGUAUUGUUUUUUGUUUACAUGUUUUUGUCUUUUGAUCAGCAUGUAUGUGUGAAAUUUUUAGUUAUUGUUUUGUCUAUACUAUACUGUCAAGCAAACAGAGAGUACAAUUAAAUGUAGUUAGAAAAGUCUAUAAUAGAUGUGUCCGAUUAUCUUGUGUUUGUUUUAGUUCUGUUAUUGUAGUCCCUCACUUAUGCAAACUCGAUUAAAACAUUUUACAAAU